GAUGAACGCUGGCGGCGUGCUUAACACAUGCAAGUCGAACGAUGAAGCCCAGCUUGCUGGGUGGAUUAGUGGCGAACGGGUGAGUAACACGUGAGUAACCUGCCCUUAACUCUGGGAUAAGCCUGGGAAACUGGGUCUAAUACCGGAUAGGAGCGUCCACCGCAUGGUGGGUGUUGGAAAGAUUUAUCGGUUUUGGAUGGACUCGCGGCCUAUCAGCUUGUUGGUGAGGUAAUGGCUCACCAAGGCGACGACGGGUAGCCGGCCUGAGAGGGUGACCGGCACACCAGGACUGAGACACGGCCCAGACUCCUACGGGAGGCAGCAGUGGGGAAUAUUGCACAAUGGGCGCAAGCCUGAUGCAGUGACGCCGCGUGAGGGAUGACGGCCUUCGGGUUGUAAACCUCUUUCAGUAGGGAAGAAGCGAAAGUGACGGUACCUGCAGAAGAAGCACCGGCUAACUACGUG
rnacentral:rRNA from 1 species